rnacentral:pre_miRNA from 1 species
UUAGUACUCCCUCCGUUUGGAAUUACUUGUCUCGGAAAUGGAUGUAUCUAGAACUAAAAUAUGUCUAGAUACAUUCAUUUCCGCGACAAGUAAUUCCGAACGGAGGGAGUACCAA